GAUUAUGGCUCAGGAUGAACGCUGGCGGCGUGCCUAACACAUGCAAGUCGAACGGAACUUUUACGAGCAAGGCUUCGGCCAAGCAAGUUCAAGUUAGUGGCGGACGGGUGAGUAACGCGUGAGCAACCUGCCUUUCAGAGGGGGAUAACGUUUGGAAACGAACGCUAAUACCGCAUAACGUAUGGAAAUCGCAUGGUGACCAUACCAAAGAUUUUAUCGCUGAGAGAUGGGCUCGCGUCCGAUUAGGUAGUUGGUGGGGUAACGGCUCACCAAGCCGACGAUCGGUAGCCGGACUGAGAGGUUAAACGGCCACAUUGGGACUGAGACACGGCCCAGACUCCUACGGGAGGCAGCAGUGGGGAAUAUUGCACAAUGGGCGCAAGCCUGAUGCAGCAACGCCGCGUGAGGGAAGACGGUUUUCGGAUUGUAAACCUCUGUCUUUGGUGACGAAGAAGUGACGGUAGCCAAGGAGGAAGCCACGGCUAACUACGUGCCAGCCGCAGC
rnacentral:rRNA from 1 species